rnacentral:rRNA from 1 species
GCCUACGGGGGGCAGCAGUAGGGAAUCUUCCACAAUGGGCGAAAGCCUGAUGGAGCAACGCCGCGUGGGUGAAGAAGGUCUUCGGAUCGUAAAACCCUGUUGUUAGAGAAAAAAGAGCGUGAGAGUAACUGUUCACGUUUCGACGGUAUCUAACCAGAAAGCCACGGCUAACUACGUGCCAACAGCCGCGGUAAUACGUAGGUGGCAAGCGUUAUCCGGAUUUAUUGGGCGUAAAGGGAACGCAGGCGGUCUUUUAAGUCUGAUGUGAAAGCCUUCGGCUUAAUCGGAGUAGUGCAUUGGAAACG